rnacentral:rRNA from 1 species
ACUCCUGCGGGAGGCAGCAGUGGGGAAUUUUGGACAAUGGGCGAAAGCCUGAUCCAGCAAUGCCGCGUGAGUGAAGAAGGCCUUCGGGUUGUAAAGCUCUUUUGUCAGGGAAGAAACGGUGAAAGCUAAUAUCUUUUGCUAAUGACGGUACCUGAAGAAUAAGCACCGGCUAACUACGUGCCAGCAGCCGCGGUAAUACGUAGGGUGCAAGCGUUAAUCGGAAUUACUGGGCGUAAAGCGUGCGCAGGCGGUUUUGUAAGUCUGAUGUGAAAUCCCCGGGCUCAACCUGGGAAUUGCAUUGGAGACUGCAAGGCUAGAAUCUGGCAGAGGGGGGUAGAAUUCCACGUGUAGCAGUGAAAUGCGUAGAUAUGUGGAGGAACACCGAUGGCGAAGGCAGCCCCCUGGGUCAAGAUUGACGCUCAUGCACGAAAGCGUGGGGAGCAAACAGGAUUAGAAACCCCAGUAGUCCCA